rnacentral:rRNA from 1 species
GAUGAACGCUGGCGGCGUGCCUAAUACAUGCAAGUCGAGCGAAGCGGGGACGGGUGAGAAAAACGUGGAUAACAUCCUAUAAGACUGGGAUAAAUUCGGGAAACCGGAGCUAAACCGGAUAAUUAUAGAUGGAUCCGCGGUGCAUUAGCUAGUUGGUAAGGUAACGGCUUACCAAGGCAACGAUGCAUAGCCGACCUGAGAGGGUGAUCGGCCACACUGGAACUGAGACACGGUCCAGACUCCUACGGGAGGCAGCAGUAGGGAAUCUUGCGCAAUGGGCGAAAGCCUGACGGAGCAACGCCGCGUGAGUGAUGAAGGUCUUCGGAUCGUAAAACUCUUUUAUUAGGGAGGCGUUACUUAAUCAGAAAGCCACGGCUAACUCCGUGCCAGCAGCCGCGGUAAUUC